rnacentral:rRNA from 1 species
UACGUAGGGGGCAAGCGUUGUCCGGAUUUAUUGGGCGUAAAGAGCUCGUAGGCGGUUCCGUAAGUCGGGUGUGAAAAAUCUGGGCUCAACCCAGUGGAGCACCCGAUACUGCGGUGACUGGAGUCCGGUAGGGGAGUGUGGAAUUCCUGGUGUAGCGGUGAAAUGCGCAGAUAUCAGGAGGAACACCGACGGCGAAGGCAGCACUCUGGGCCGGUACUGACGCUGAGACGCGAAAGCGUGGGGAGCGAACAGG